rnacentral:lncRNA from 1 species
CGGACCCGAGGAACCGAGGACCCCAGCAGUGAGUCAGCUGCUUCAGUCAUUGUCAGAGCUAGCUGAGGUGAGUAGAAUAAACCUUUAUGUUUUAAAGCAAAUAAAUUAUAAAGUUUUGAGCAUGUUCAUUCAUCAUGAAUGCCAUGUGAUGAUUUUAGGUUGUUUGCAUUAGAACCCAUGAAUAUGUUGCAUUGCAUUUUAUGAUGUUGAUGCGGAUUGGUUAUUGGAUGAUCCUUUAGUCCUCAUAUGAUAUGAUGAUGUUACGGUAUGAUAUGGUAUGGAAGUCCAGGUUGACCCAUUCUACAUCACUGGCACUAUGCAAGAGAAAGUCCAGGUUGACCCAUUCUACGUCCCUGGCACAUUGGAAUGUUAUGAUAUGUUAUGUUUAAGAGAAAGACCGGUUGACCCAUUCUACGUCCUGGCACUUUGGAAUGUAGAGGACUAUUGGUGACAAUACCAUCCUUGAUGUGAUUUGUUGUGAUGUGUUGCAUUACAUGAGAGCAUGAGAUUUUAAAUGUUUUAUUAUUCUGCUCACUGGGCUCUAGUAGCUCACCCCUUUCCCUAAUCCCCCAGGGUUGCAGGUACGGGCUAGACAGUGAAGUCAUGAUGGAUGAAGUCAUGUGUAUGUAAUAGAUAGAAUGUGGAUAUGAUAAAUUGUAAAAUGAUGUAAAGUUAUGAAUAGUUAUGUUAUGUAAAAAUGAUAUUGAGGAUUAGAGGUUGUGCUUGACCCUAUGUGUAUGGAGAUCCCUUUUGUAUACAUGAUCUAUGAUUUAUGAUGUUUAUGUUCCACCAAGCUUGUGCAUGAGGAG